rnacentral:rRNA from 1 species
GGGCUCCGGAGUGCCUCCAUAACCCUUAUGUGACCGUACCUAUCGUUGCUUCGGCGGGAACGCCCCGGCGCCCCGAGCCCGGACCCAGGCGCCCGCCGGAGGCCCCAAACUCUUGUGUUUUUCCUGCAGUAUUCUCUGAGUGGCAUAACGCAAAAAAUAAAUCAAAACUUUUAACAACGGAUCUCUUGGCUCUGGCAUCGAUGAAGAACGCAGCGAAAUGCGAUAAGUAAUGUGAAUUGCAGAAUUCAGUGAAUCAUCGAAUCUUUGAACGCACAUUGCGCCCGUUAGCAUUCUAGCGGGCAUGCCUGUCCGAGCGUCAUUUCAACCCUCAGGGCCCCCCGUUCCGGCGGGCGGACCUGGCGUUGGGGAUCGGCCCGCCCCGUGCGGCGCCGUCCCCCAAAUACAGUGGCGGUCCCGCCGCAGCCUCCCCUGCGUAGUAGUUUACAACCUCGCAUCGGAGCGCGGCGCGGCCACGCCGUAAAACCCCCGACUUUCUGAACGUUGACCUCGGAUCAGGUAGGAAUACCCGCUGAACUUAAGCAUAUCAAAA